UACGGGGGGAGCAAGCGUUGUUCGGAUUUACUGGGCGUAAAGGGCGCGUAGGCGGCCAGCACAAGUCAGUUGUGAAAUCUCCGAGCUUAACUCGGAACGGUCAACUGAUACUGUGCGGCUAGAGUGCGGAAGGGGCAACUGGAAUUCUUGGUGUCGCGGUGAAAUGCGUAGAUAUCAAGAGGAACACCUGCGGCGAAGGCGGGUUGCUGGGCCGACACUGACGCUGAUGCGCGAAAACCAGGGGAGCGAACGGG
rnacentral:rRNA from 1 species